CAAAAGUGUACUUAUACCUCAUACUAUAUGCCCAGAGUGGGUUGGUAGGGAAGCUCCAGAAAGUUGAUGGAAGCUCCAUCUUUACACAUGCUUCUCGGAUCACCUCAACAGGGAGAAGGGAGAACUCAGGAAUAUUCUGCACCAUUAAGAAUUAGAAUUAAGCGUUAAUUAGAAAUUAAGUACUUAAUUAAGAAUUAGAAUUCAGUAAUUAAGGAGCAUCUUACACCAUUAAGAAUUAAGUGUUCUGGAAAUGAUGGUCCAAUGGUCAGAACUACUAUUCCCCGACACAACAAAGAAAGGGCUAAGAAGUUCAGUUUUUUUACAUGGGUAGAAGGAAAAAAGAACAGAUAUUAGUGAGUAGCACCAAUGCUGAUUACAAUGUGCCCUUGUGGCUACCAACUAUUUGUUCCUCUCUGCUUUCUCUAGGUAAGACACACUCCCUCUCCUGUUUCCUCGAAGGAGACAAUCUCAAACACCUUCCAAUCAUAGCAUCAAGCACACAGUCCAGGAUCCUUGGACUUUGAAGAUGGAAUUAAGGUUUCUGAUCAGCUGACCUGAAAUAGGGAAUAUAUUCAGGAUUUUUCAGGUGGGCUGAAUGUAAUCAUGUGAUCCCUGGAAACAGAAGAGGAAAGUAGAAGAGUCCAACAGAGAGAUAUGGCAGAAUGAGAAAAAAAGCAGAAGAGGUCAGAGAUACUCAAAGCUUGAGAAGGACCUAAACCACUGUUGAUGGCUUUGAAGAUGGAGGAAGGGGAACAUAAGUCAAGGAAUGCAGGUAGAUUUUGGAAGUGAGAAGGACCGCUUACUGACAGCUAGCAAAGAAACUGGG
rnacentral:lncRNA from 1 species